CGGAACACGUACAGAACCUUCCUUUAAGCGGGGGAUAGCCCGGAGAAAUCCGGAUUAAUACCCCAUAAGAUUAUAUAGUGGCAUCACAUGGUAUAAUUAAAGAUUUAUCACUUAAAGAUGGCUGUGCGCCUGAUUAGGUAGUUGGUAGGGGUAAUGGCCCACCAAGCCAACGAUCAGUAACUGGUGUGAGAGCAUGACCAGUCACACGGGCACUGAGACACGGGCCCG
rnacentral:rRNA from 1 species